rnacentral:rRNA from 1 species
AGCGUUAUCCGGAUUUAUUGGGUUUAAAGGGUGCGUAGGCGGGUUAUUAAGUCAGUGGUGAAAGCCUUCAGCUUAACUGAAGAAUUGCCAUUGAUACUGAUGAUCUUGAGUAUGAUUGAGGUGGGCGGAAUGUGUCAUGUAGCGGUGAAAUGCUUAGAUAUGACACAGAACACCGAUUGCGAAGGCAGCUCACUAAGUCAUAACUGACGCUGAUGCACGAAAGCGUGGGGAGCAAACAGG